CACACGCCCGAGAACUACGAACUAAAGUUUAAAACUCAAAGGACUUGGCGGUUUUUUAGAUCUCUCUGGAGGAGCUUGCCACCAAACCGAUAAUCCACGAAAAACCUUACCAGUCUUAGCAUACUCAACCUGUAUACCAUCGUCGUCAGCCUACUUCUUAAGAAUAGUAUGCAGUAAGAACUCUACUUCAUUACGUCAGAUCGAGGUGCAGUUUAUAAACUGGAGGUGAGUGAGCUACAAUAUUCCCCCAAAAAACACAAUUAUGAAAAGUAUUAAUGAAAAACAAACUUGAAAUAGGAUUCAGCAGUAAUGUUAAACUAAGAAAAUCAACAUGAAAACCCCCACA
rnacentral:rRNA from 1 species